CCCGAUGAACCUGAAUAUCCGUUAUGGAAAAUUCAUCAUUAGAAUUGUAAUAUUUAAACAAUAUUAUAAUAAUAGUGUGCAUUUUUUCCAUAUAAGGACAUUGUAAUCUAUUAGCAUAUUAAUUUAUCAUAAAAUUAUGGCAUAUAGUUUAUUUCAAUUAAAAUGCUUGCGUUUUAACAUGAAAUAAAAGUUGUAAAUUUGAUAAAGUGCUGAUAGAUUUAUAAGAAUACAGUGCGUUAAUUUUUCGGAAUUAUAUAAUGGCAUGAUUAUCAUUGAUUUUUGUGUUUAUUAUAUGCACUUGUAUGAUUAACAAUGCGAAAGAUUCAGGAUACCUUCGGG
rnacentral:rRNA from 1 species